rnacentral:rRNA from 1 species
AAAUUGAAGAGUUUGAUCAUGGCUCAGAUUGAACGCUGGCGGCAGGCCUAACACAUGCAAGUCGAACGGUAACAGGAAGCAGCUUGCUGCUUUGCUGACGAGUGGCGGACGGGUGAGUAAUGUCUGGGAAACUGCCUGAUGGAGGGGGAUAACUACUGGAAACGGUGGCUAAUACCGCAUAACGUCGCAAGACCAAAGAGGGGGACCUUCGGGCCUCUUGCCAUCAGAUGUGCCCAGAUGGGAUUAGCUUGUUGGUGAGGUAACGGCUCACCAAGGCGACGAUCCCUAGCUGGUCUGAGAGGAUGACCAGCCACACUGGAACUGAGACACGGUUCAGACUCCUACGGGAGGCAGCAGUGGGGAAUAUUGCACAAUGGGCGCAAGCCUGAUGCAGCCAUGCCGCGUGUAUGAAGAAGGCCUUCGGGUUGUAAAGUACUUUCAGCGGGGAGGAAGGUGUUGUGGUUAAUAACCACAGCAAUUGACGUUACCCGCAGAAGAAGCACCGGCUAACUCCGUGCCAGCAGCCGCGGUAAUACGGAGGGUGCAAGCGUUAAUCGGAAUUACUGGGCGUAAAGCGCACGCAGGCGGUCUGUCAAGUCGGAUGUGAAAUCCCCGGGCUCAACCUGGGAACUGCAUUCGAAACUGGCAGGCUUGAGUCUUGUAGAGGGGGGUAGAAUUCCAGGUGUAGCGGUGAAAUGCGUAGAGAUCUGGAGGAAUACCGGUGGC